rnacentral:rRNA from 1 species
ACAAAAACAUGUCUCUUUGUUUUAUAGUAUAUAGAGAGUCUGACCUGCCCAGUGAUAAAUUAUUUAACGGCCGCAGUACUUUGACUGUGCGAAGGUAGCAUAAUUAUUUGCCUUAUAAUUGAAGGCUUGUAUGAAUGGUUUAACGAAAAUAAGUCUGUCUUAAUUUGAUUUUUUAGAAUUUAACUUUUAAGUGAAGAGGCUUUUAUUUAAUUGAUAGACAAGAAGACCCUGUCGAGCUUAAAUUAUAAUAUAUAUCAUAAAAAUAUGAGUUAAUAAUUGUUUUAGUUGGGGUGACUAAGGAAUAAUAUAAGUUUCUUUAUUUUUUUAAUAAAUUAUUGUUUUUGAUCCAUAAAUAGUGAUUAGUAGAAUUAGUUACCGCAGGGAUAACAGCAUAAUCUUUUUUGAGAGUUCUUAUCGAAAAAUGGGUUUGUGACCUCGAUGUUGGAUUGAAGUGUCCUAAAGGUGCAGACGCUUUUGAGGGUUAGUCUGUUCGACUAUUAAAACUUUACAUGAGCUGAG